rnacentral:rRNA from 1 species
GAUACCCUAUUAUUUUGAGUGUUAGCGUUUUGUCUUUAAUUAUUAAUAGUUAAGGUCUUUAAAGUUAAAAGAUUUGGCGGUAUUUUAGUCUGUUCAGAGGAACCUGCUUCUUAAUCGAUAGUCCACGAUUAGCUUUACUUUGAUUAUAAAAUUUAUAUAUCGUUGUUUAUAAAAAUUUCGGGAGAAUUAUAAUUUUUAGUAUAUUUGAUUAUAUAGCAUUUCAGAUCAAGGUGUAGUUUAUAUUAAAGUUGGGGUGGGUUACAUUUUAUCUAUAUGUGGUUUCCUAGUUCUAAUAGCUGGAAUAAAUUGGAUUUGAUAGUAAUUACUAAAUAUAUUUGUUUUGAUUUAGCUCUAAAAUAUGCACACAUCGCC